rnacentral:rRNA from 1 species
CUUGAACGCUGGCGGCAGGCUUAACACAUGCAAGUCGCGCGAGAGGCGGACGGGUGAGUAAUGUCUGGGAAACUGCCUGAUGGAGGGGGAUAACUACUGGAAACGGUAGCUAAUACCGCAUACCAUCAGAUGUGCCCAGAUGGGAUUAGCUAGUAGGUGGGGUAAUGGCUCACCUAGGCGACGAUCCCUAGCUGGUCUGAGCGGAUGACCAGCCACACUGGAACGUAGACACGGUCCAGACUCCUACGGGAGGCAGCAGUGGGGAAGAUUGCACAAUGGGCGCAAGCCUGUUGCAGCCAUGCCGCGUGUGUGAAGAAGGCCUUCGGGUUGUAAAGUACCUUCAGCGGGGAGGCGUUACUCGCAGAAGAAGCACCAGCUAACCCCGUAGCAGCAGCCGCGGUAAUUC